GGCUUAAACAACAGAAAUCUAUUGUCUCAUACAUUUCAUCUGGAGGCUAGAAGUCCAAAAUCAAGGCAUCAGCAGAGCUGGUUCCUCCUGAGGCCUGUGAGAGAGAAUCUGCUCCACGCCGCACCCCUUGCUCCUUGUGGUUUGCUAGCAGUCUUUCGUGUUCCUUAGCUUGACGAUGUAUCACUCAAUCUCUGCCUUCAUCUUCAUGUGGUGUACUCCCUGUGUGUGUGUCUCUGUGUCCAAAUUUCCCCUUCUGAUGUGGACAUCUAUCAUAUUUGAUUAGGGCCCGCUCUGAUGACCUCAUUUUAACUUGAUUACCUCUGUUAUGACCCUGCCUCCAAACAAGGUCACAAUCUGAGGUUCAUUAACAUAUAAUUCUUGAGUAGAAACAAUUCAAUCCAUAGCAGCUUGCAUUUUUCUCACAUGUGAGAGGGAUCUUAGCCUGUGCCUCUUCCAUUAGAAGAUGAUGAUGGCCCUCAUUCGCUGAAGACUCGGGGCUAGCAACAACUGAAAUAAAAUAAAAUAAAACUAUUUUAAUGGAUGACAUAAUAGGUGGCUCCUUUUGAAGGGGAGGACAGAGUAUGGACCCUGGUGCUGAACUUAUUGGGUUCAAAUCCCAGCUCUGCCAUUGAGCAGCUGUGGAAUGUGGAGGAAAUUCGCAAACUCUCUGUAGCUCAGUUUCCUCAUUUGUCGUAAGGGGUGAAAAGAGAAUCUCCCUGAUGGAGUUGUGAGAAAUAAAUGAUUUAAUGUUUGUAUAUCCCAUGAACCACAGCCUGAAGCCUAGUAAGCCCUAUGUAAAUAUACUUAAAUUAAAACCAUAAGAAUUGUAGAGGAAGCUGACUGCUUUUAACUGCAUUGGAAUCCUUUUUAAAAAAUAACAAACUCAGGCCCACUGGUACACUGUGAAAGUCACAAGACCUCAACGGCAGCGUUUAAGGAGACAUUUGUCUCCUGCGGCCAUGGGGCAGACUGGAGUGAACAGCAGGUCCAGGGUCAAAGCCUCAGCAUGGCAGAGCUGUGAGAGCUGUAGGGAAGACUAAUCUGCAUCUUCAUAGGUUUUCUAUGCCAAAGUC
rnacentral:lncRNA from 1 species